rnacentral:rRNA from 1 species
UUAAAUGAAUUGACGGGGACCCGCACAAGCAGCGGAGCGUGUGGUUUAAUUCGUUGCUACACGAAGAACCUUACCUAGGUUUGACAUAUAGGUUGUAGGGAACUGAAAAGGGACCGACCCUUCGGGGAGCCUAUACAGGUGUUGCAUGGCUGUCGUCGGCUCGUGUCGUGAGAUGUUCGGUUAAGUCCGCUAACGAGCGCAACCCUCGCUGUGUGUUAUAUGUGUCACACGGGACUGCCGGUCUUAAGCCGGAGGAAGGUGGGGAUGAUGUCAAGUCAGCAUGGCCUUUAUAUCCUGGGCUACACACACGCUACAAUGGCCAACACAAUAGGUUGCUAAGCCGCGAGGUGGCGCCAAUCCAUAAAGUUGGUCUCAGUUCAGAUUGUAGGCUGCAACCCGCCUGCAUGAAGAUGGAGUUGCUAGUAACCGCAGGUCAGCUAUACUGCGGUGAAUACGUUCCCGGGGCUU